AACGGUCUAUACCUGCGGUACCUGCGGAGGGAUCAUUAUUGACUUUCAAAGGAUGUGCUGGCCCCCCUAACUAGGAGGAGCAACGUGCACUCCCAACAAAACCAAUAUCCACCUGUGCACUCCUUAGUAGGCAAAGACCGUCAGAAGUCUUUUGUCUAUGUUUUCCUUUACAAACACUUGGAACUAUUGGAAUGCCUUUUGUUAUUGAUGUAAUACAACUUUCAACAAUGGAUCUCUAGA
rnacentral:misc_RNA from 1 species